GAUGAACGCUGACAGAAUGCUUAACACAUGCAAGUCAACUUGAAUUUGGGUUUUUAACUUAGGUUUGGGUGGCGGACGGGUGAGUAACGCGUAAAGAACUUGCCUCACAGCUAGGGACAACAUUUGGAAACGAAUGCUAAUACCUAAUAUUAUGAUAAUAGGGCAUCCUAUCAUUAUGAAAGCUAUAAGCGCUGUGAGAGAGCUUUGCGUCCCAUUAGCUAGUUGGAGAGGUAACGGCUCACCAAGGCGAUGAUGGGUAGCCGGCCUGAGAGGGUGAUCGGCAACAAGGGGACUAAGACACGGCCCUUACUCCUACGGGAGGCAGCAGUGGGGAAUAUUGGACAAUGGACCGAGAGUCUGAUCCAGCAAUUCUGUGUGCACGAUGAAGUUUUUCGGAAUGUAAAGUGCUUUCAGUUGGGAAGAAACAAAUGACGGUACCAACAGAAGAAGUGACGGCUAAAUACGUG
rnacentral:rRNA from 1 species